CCCUGGUUCGUGUUUGCUGCGGUGACACGGUGCCGCACUGAGUGAAGAUUGCGUUCAUAAUCACUUAUCGGGGGUGGAGUGGGGAAAGGAGAGUCAGGAAGUGAGGAUAUUUAUAUUAUUUGACAUAUUAUUUGAUAGCAUGUCAACUUUUGUGUGUGUGUGUGUGUGUGUGUGUGUGCGUGUGGGGGUGGGUGGGUGUUGGAUCAGUGACAGGUGGCGCUGGGGAGUUACCACGGCGAGCGGCUGGCUGGCUGCAGUGUUUUGGUCAGCACUGGUCAGUCUUGCCCUACACGCUCUAUUAACCAGUGUUUCCGUCUUCCCGACACCUUCUUCCUGCACCAAGCACCGUCAAGCAUCACCAGAGAGGCACGAGUACGUAAGCUAUCCAACAUCAGAACAGUAUAUGAAUAUGGCAAAUGCUGUUUUGACAUCAUUUCCUGCCAUCCUGAGAAACAGUGAUCUCGAGGAGCAUGAAUUGCAGCUGCAAUGGAAAUUGCUCAUCCAGCGCAAGUUUCAGAAUUCAAGAAAGAGGCAGGAUUCCUCAGUGACUGAGGUGACGUCAAGGAAAAAGAAGAUCCCUUGCAUAGCGCCAAAAGAGACUACGUGUCCACUGAUGUAUGGAGUAAAGGCUUACCUUCCACCAAGGCCCCAUUCAGAAGAUGAUGAGUCAUUAGAGAGACAUAGACAGUGGCUUGCUCUACAUUGGAUGAAGAAAGAUCCCGAGUUAGAUAAGAUAAUCAAGGAGUUCCUGAGAUUAGAACCACAAGCGGAUGAACCAGACCCAAUAGUAGCAGUUUUGAAAGGGCUGGAGAAAUAUAGGCUCCCAAUAAUUGCCAUUCUCAAAAAAAGAAAAGCAGUUCCUCUGUAUAUGGAAACCUUAUUUGAACUCUAUGACCACGAUGAAAGUCAAUGCGAGUAAUGUCUAUUUCAAUUUGUUCAUUUCAGUAGCUGGUAGCAAUUUAAUAUAUGUAUCUUUUCAUCAUUAG